GUCCACGCCCUAAACGAUGGGCACUAAGUGUGGGAGGUAUCGACCCCUCCCGUGCCGCACCUAACGGAGUAAGUGCCCCGCCUGGGGAGUACGGCCGCAAGGUUGAAACUCAAAGGAAUUGACGGGGGCCCGCACAAGCGGUGGAGCAUGUGGUUUAAUUCGACGCAACGCGAAGAACCUUACCCAGGCUUGACAUGUAGGUAGUAGGAACCUGAAAGGGCAACGACCCCGCAAGGGGAGCCUGCACAGGUGCUGCAUGGCUGUCGU
rnacentral:rRNA from 1 species